UCUGUUCUUAUCAGUUUAAUAUCUGAUACG
rnacentral:piRNA from 6 species